rnacentral:rRNA from 1 species
GACGAACGCUGGCGGCGUGCUUAACACAUGCAAGUCGAACGAAGUGGCGAACGGGUGAGUAACGCGUAAUCAACCUGCUCUUCAGAGGGGGACAAAAGUUGGAAACGCCUGCUAAUAACGCAUACUGAUGGAGGGGAUUGCGGCUGAUUAGCUAGUUGGCGGGGUAACGGCCAACCAAGGCGAGGAUGAGUAGCCGGUCUGGGAGGGUGAUCGGCCACAUUGGGACUGAGACACGGCCCAGACUCCUACGGGAGGCAGCAGUGGGGAAUCUUCCGAAAUGGACGGAAGUCUGACGGAGCAACGCCGCGUGAGUGAUGACGGCCUUCGGGUUGUAAAGCUCUGUUAAUCGGGACGCGGUACCGGAAUAGAAAGCCACGGCUAACUACGUGCCAGCAGCCGCGGUAAUAC